rnacentral:rRNA from 1 species
AGUGAACGCUGGCGGUAGGCCUAACACAUGCAAGUCGAACGGCAGCACAGUAAGAGCUUGCUCUUAUGGGUGGCGAGUGGCGGACGGGUGAGGAAUACAUCGGAAUCUACUUUUUCGUGGGGGAUAACGUAGGGAAACUUACGCUAAUACCGCAUACGACCUACGGGUGAAAGCAGGGGAUCUUCGGACCUUGCGCGAUUGAAUGAGCGGAUGUCGGAUUAGCUAGUUGGCGGGGUAAAGGUCCACCAAGGCGACGAUCCGUAGCUGGUCUGAGAGGAUGAUCAGCCACACUGGAACUGAGACACGGUCCAGACUCCUACGGGAGGCAGCAGUGGGGAAUAUUGGACAAUGGGCGCAAGCCUGAUCCAGCCAUACCGCGUGGGUGAAGAAGGCCUUCGGGUUGUAAAGCCCUUUUGUUGGGAAAGAAAAGCAGCAGGUUAAUACCCCGCUGUUCUGACGGUACCCAAAGAAUAAGCACCGGCUAACUUCGUG